rnacentral:misc_RNA from 1 species
CACAGAAGUUUUGAUUAUCCACUGCUUCACACAUUCUAGCUUUGUUGGUUCAUAGAUUGCAAUUUGAGUCUCAUGUACAACAAGGAAGCAUUUCUCAUCUCGCUGAAAUUCGACAGAUGUCUCUGAUACUUCUGUUGGUAACCAGUCUGCAGAUGUCUGCAACAUUGUACUUCCUUCCCUCUCCCAGUUUGUUGAAUUCCACACCACUAUCUGAGAGUCUGCUCCUGAAGAAACAAGCACAUUCAUUGUGUUAGAGAAUGCUAGUCCAGUAAUCCUUUUAGAGUGUCCAUUAAGCCUGCUUAUUAACUCCUCCGUACGGACACUGUAGACAAUGAUUGUCAAAUCAUCCAUCCCAACAUGUAUCGCUUGCCACCCGACUAAUAACAAUGUGAUUGCUGUUGGGAUGGA